rnacentral:tRNA from 1 species
GGCAAGCUGGCGGGCAAGGUCACCUCGGCGGCGAAAAAGCUGCCGGGCGGUCACUUCCUGAACGCGGGCGCGGCGAUCCUGUCGCUGAUCCUGCUG